rnacentral:rRNA from 1 species
CACAGGUGCUGCAUGGCUGUCGUCAGCUCGUGUCGUGAGAUGUUCGGUUAAGUCCGCUAACGAGCGCAACCCUCGCUGUGUGUUAUAUGUGUCACACGGGACUGCCGGUCUUAAGCCGGAGGAAGGUGGGGAUGAUGUCAAGUCAGCAUGGCCUUUAUAUCCUGGGCUACACACACGCUACAAUGGCCAACACAAUAGGUUGCUAAGCCGCGAGGUGGCGCCAAUCCAUAAAGUUGGUCUCAGUUCAGAUUGUAGGCUGCAACCCGCCUGCAUGAAGAUGGAGUUGCUAGUAACCGCAGGUCAGCUAUACUGCGGUGAAUACGUUCCCGGGGCUU